CCUACGGGAGGCUGCAGUGGGGAAUAUUGGACAAUGGGCGAAAGCCUGAUCCAGCCAUGCCGCGUGUGUGAAGAAGGCCUUCGGGUUGUAAAGCACUUUCAGUGGGGAAGAAAGCCUUGGGGCUAAUACCCUCGAGGAAGGACAUCACCCACAGAAGAAGCACCGGCUAACUCCGUGCCAGCAGCCGCGGUAAUACGGAGGGUGCGAGCGUUAAUCGGAAUUACUGGGCGUAAAGCGCGCGUAGGCGGUCUGAUAAGCCGGUUGUGAAAGCCCCGGGCUCAACCUGGGAACGGCAUCCGGAACUGUCAGGCUAGAGUGCAGGAGAGGAAGGUAGAAUUCCCGGUGUAGCGGUGAAAUGCGUAGAGAUCGGGAGGAAUACCAGUGGCGAAGGCGGCCUUCUGGACUGACACUGACGCUGAGAUGCGAAAGCGUGGGUAGCAAACAGGAUUAGAUACCCCGGUAGUC
rnacentral:rRNA from 1 species